rnacentral:rRNA from 1 species
AUGCACGCUGGCGGCGUGCCUCAUACCUGCCAGUCGCGCGAACAGACGAGGAGCUUGCUCCUCUGACGUUAGCGGCGGACGGGUGAGUAACACGUGGAUAACCUACCUAUAAGACUGGGAUAACUUCGGGAAACCGGAGCUAAUACCGGAUAAUAUAUUGAACCGCAUGGUUCAAUAGUGAAAGACGGUUUUGCUGUCACUUAUAGAUGGAUCCGCGCCGCAUUAGCUAGUUGGUAAGGUAACGGCUUACCAAGGCAACGAUGCGUAGCCGACCUGAGAGGGUGAUCGGCCACACUGGAACUGAGACACGGUCCAGACUCCUACGGGAGGCAGCAGUAGGGAAUCUUCCGCAAUGGGCGAAAGCCUGACGGAGCAACGCCGCGUGAGUGAUGAAGGUCUUCGGAUCGUAAAACUCUGUUAUUAGGGAAGAACAAAUGUGUAAGUAACUAUGCACGUCUUGACGGUACCUAACCAGAAAGCCACGGCUAACUACGUG